rnacentral:rRNA from 1 species
GCCCAGACUCCUACGGGAGGCAGCAGUGGGGAAUCUUCCGCAAUGGGCGCAAGCCUGACGGAGCAAUGCCGCGUGAACGAAGAAGGUCUUCGGAUUGUAAAGUUCUGUCCUUAUCGAAGAGAGGGUAUAGAGUGAAAAAUGAUAUACUAGGACGGUAGAUGAGGAGGAAGCCACGGCUAACUACGUGCCAGCAGCCGCGGUAAUACGUAGGUGGCAAGCGUUGUCCGGAUUUACUGGGUGUAAAGGGCGUGCAGCCGGGAAGACAAGUCAGAUGUGAAAUCCCGCGGCUCAACCGCGGAACUGCAUUUGAAACUGUUUUUCUUGAGUACCGGAGAGGUCAUCGGAAUUCCUUGUGUAGCGGUGAAAUGCGUAGAUAUAAGGAAGAACACCAGUGGCGAAGGCGGAUGACUGGACGGCAACUGACGGUGAGGCGCGAAAGCGUGGGGAGCAAACAGGAUUAGAUACCCGGGUACAG